rnacentral:lncRNA from 1 species
AUGUUCUAUUUUCAUUUUUCAAGCGACAUUAGCAUAACGGAGGUCCAAUUGUCUUCGGUGGUUUGUCUCACAGCCCAAAUGCCACAUGUGGUUUAUUAUUCUGCGACAAUGGCUUCCAAACCAAGGCGCCAUAAGUACUACACAACUGCCCUCACGCAGCUUUGGAUCACCCAUGUCCCGACAUGUGCCGAGUCUGGAUAUUGUUCUCCAGGGUCUUUUAGAGCCUGAAAUGCUUCUGAGAGUCCACGGUGUGAUAGAAGCAGCCUCUCCUGCAGGUACAGCUUGCUGUAGUCAGAUGCAUAUUCUACCGUCAAUCCAACACCAAACAAAGUUCACUCUCCAGAAAGAGAAGAUCAGAGUAUUCACCACGAAGAAUCGAAUGGAUCUCAACCACCUUGGAGAACAACAGGGGGAAGCUGAUGAGAACACUCCGUUUUGGCAGCCCACAGCAGCCACCUGAGGUUCUCUGGUUCUCAUCACAUCCCCCGCCCAGCAAAGAGACCAGAGCAUGGCUGUCUGCAGACAUGUGGUACCCACUUCCCACAAACACCAAAGUGAGACCUGCUGCUUAGACAACACAGAUAAGGUUAAAAUCAAACCCUUGAGGUCAGCCAGCCAUCAGUGAGUCCUAGUUCUGACCCUGAUCACCUGUGGGACCUUGAGCAAGCUACUUAACUUCUCAGAGCCUCAAUUUCCUCAUCUGUAAAAUGGGAAUAACCUACUCACAAAGCAGUCAGCAGACUUUCUACUCACUUAUGUGCUCAAUGAAUGUUAGCUAGCUAUUCUUAUUACUUCCAGGAGACAAGAGCCUAGAAGGGUGUGUGUUUGACUCUCGUUUGUAUUUUCCAUACUUAACAAAGUGCCUUGCCCAGAGAUGCGACUGAGUGCAGUUUUUACUAAAUGAAUUCUGGCUGCCCUCUGUAGCUGGCUGGUGGUAACUAUAGACACAGUUUAGGAUGGACCUGAGUAUGGAAAGGAACGGGAUUGGUGAAGGCCAGUUUGUCCUCACUGACCUACGUUAUCAAUGGGUUGGGGUUUGCUUUCUCUCUGGAAGAUGCCUCAUUUCCUUUCUAUGGAUUCCCUUUGUAGUUGCUCAGCACUUCUCUGACUCAUGAUAAUAAAUUCCAGAUUCUCCAAGUUGGGUCUUGUGUG